GAUCCUGACUUGGAAGAUUCAGAGGAUGAAGUGGCUGUUGAUACACUCCCUGACAAUGCUGUAUCCAGAAGGAAGCUGAGAAUGGUGGUUGAUCUUGAGGAUGAUGACUGAUGUGGAAGCGUUAUUAUUUUGACUUAAUGUGGAAGCGUUAUUAUUUUGACUUAAUGUGGAAGCAUGAUUAAGAUACCUGUGUAUUCUUUUAUACUUGAUUGUUUGCUUCCAAUUUGUACAAAUAGUAUGUAUAUUUAACCGAUUAUUUAAGAUUCUAUCCUUUU
rnacentral:lncRNA from 1 species